rnacentral:rRNA from 1 species
AUUGAACGCUGGCGGCAGGCCUAACACAUGCAAGUCGAACGAGUGGCGGACUGGUUAGUAAUGUCUGGGAAACUGCCUGAUGGAGGGGGAUAACUACUGGAAACGGUAGCUACUACCUCAUACCAUCAGAUGCGCCCAGAUGGGAUUUGCUAGUUGGUGGGGUUACGGCUCACAAAGGCGACGAUCCCUAGCUGGUCUGAGAGGAUGACCCUCCACGCUGGAGCUGAGAAACGGUCACGACUCGUACGGGAGGCAGCAGUGGAGAAUAUUGCACAACGGGCGCAGGCCUGCUGCAGCCAUGCCGCGGGUAUUAGCAAGUAAUUCAGGUUUCAAAGUACUUACAGCGGGGAGGGGUUACCCGCAGAAGAAGCACCGGCUAACUCCGUGCUAGCCGCCGCGGUAAUUC